AACUGCUUAUAUUAAUUUGUUUAAACCAGUAAAAAAAUGAUACCAGUGCAUAUGUUAAAAACCACUGAACUGUAUGUACUCUUUAAAGGAUAAAGUUUAUGGUAUGCGAAUUAUAACGGUAAAAAUAUUAAUAAAUACACAUGCACACACACACAUAUAAAGGAAACAAUACUUCCAAAAACGGUACAAGAGGAAAUUUAUCUAGAUCCGUCCACAGGUAUCUCGAGGGCCUAGCGUGUGCUACAUCUACGCUGAUGUUGAUACUGCUACUUUUUCCAGAGCACUAUGAGUCAGCUUUUCCUGACUAUCUUACUUAAGUCAUUAUAGAUGAGCUAGCUUGCCCAAGGGCUUGCAGCUAAGUGCAGAGCUUAGAUUCAAACCCAUGGUUGCCUCACUUAGAAGCCCCAGAUUUGAACCACUAUGGUCCGCCAUCUCCAGUGAAUGCUGAAUUAAUGUCAACUGGAGUGACUGUCCCGAAACACCCUCAGCUCAUCUCCCGCUAUCCCCUGUUCUCUCCCUGCCAACGUGGGAGUCGGGGACAGUCAGACCGUCUGCGACCCCGCGGCAACCCGAGGCCCGAAGCGGCGGCAGAAUUCCGAAGACCGAAAAGCAGAACCAGAGGCCGAGCCUAAGCACGAAAGGAAGCCCGCAGCGUCCCGCCAGACAGGAAAACCGGACAUCAAGGCAGGGAUGACGCUGAAGGACAGCAGAGGCGGGAUCUGCAGGCCUGCAGCGCCAUGUCGGUCCCGGCUGCCAAUAAAGUUGACGACCAUUCAUACUCCUGGGGGCUUUCCGGGGUCUUGACGCGCGUGGGCCUGCACGGCGAGGCCCGCGCUGUGCGGGAGACUCGGCCCGGGGCUGGGAGCUGUCCUCACGGCCGCCGGCUCAGGGUCAACCCCGCAGCCAGGCAAUAAGGGCGGCGGGCGCCGAGCGUGACGCGGGCGGGCGUGCAGGCAGAGCGCCGGGCAGCCCUCGGCGCGUGGCUAUGGCGGCCGUGCUGGGGGCGUGCGGGGCGACGCGACGUUUGUUCGCGGCGCUUUGGGGCCGGGACUGGAGCCUCGCGGCCAUGUCAGCAGAUGCUCACUGGUUGACAGCAGAAGAGAGGAACCAAGUUAUACUUGACCUUAAAGCGGCAGGAUGGUCAGAAUUAAGUGAGAGAGAUGCCAUCUACAAAGAAUUCUUGUUCAAAAAUUUUAAUCAGCUUUUAGGAGAAGGAGGUAGAUGGUAAGGAAAUCAGCAGUGUCAGGGAAUUUAUUCAGAGAACCAGCACUGAGGUUAUAUCUUGGGGCCAGUUUUCUAGCCAGUCUCCUGUCUAUGACUUCUGCAUGUACAAUGGCCCUGUAAUGGCAACUGAUAACAAUGACAACCGUCAGUGCCCUCCAGUCAAAGACCACCAGGAGCAUACGUAAAAUUGAGCAAGUUGGGUUUGUUAGUACUCAUGGUAAUGAGGAAGAACUUUCCUCAUGGAGAAUCUUGGGCCAUUUCAGGAAGAAAGUAUUAGAAAAGACUUAUUACAGGAUUUGGGCUUGUAUUAGUGAUUUGGGGAGUAUUUAAGGAAGCAGAGAUUUGGAUUGGAUGCUUUCAGGACAUGAGAGUAGUUUUAUGAUUGGGUAUUUUAAUAAAUAUCUGUAGGGAGAACAGACUGAAGUGAAGUUAAAGCUAAAAUUGAUUGAUCAAGAAGCCUAGUGUGCCGGUUUGUAUAUAUUACGUCCCCCAGAAAAAGCCAUAUUCUUUGAUGCAGUCUUGUGUGGGCAGACUUAUUAGUGUUGAUUGGAUUGUAAUUCUUUGAUUAAGUGUUUCCAUGGAGAUG